rnacentral:lncRNA from 1 species
UCACGUUGGAUCAUCAUCUAUGUUUUUGUCAUUCGACUUAGAUUUUAUUUACACGUAAGGCUUAAUCAUGGAGAAAAUAUUAAAUUAUUUAGAGAUUUUUAAAUUCAUCUUAAAUUUUAAUUUGAUGCAAUCAGAUCAUCAAACUAUCACAAAAGUUUAAUUCGGAUCCUGACUAUGAAUUUCAUCUGGCUUCAGUUAUGGAAUUGCA